rnacentral:rRNA from 1 species
CCUACGGGAGGCAGCAGUGAGGAAUAUUGGUCAAUGGGCGCUAGCCUGAACCAGCCAAGUAGCGUGAAGGAUGACUGCCCUAUGGGUUGUAAACCUCUUUUAUCUGGGAAUAAAGUGCAGUAUGUAUACUGCUUUGCGAGUACCUUAUGAAUAAGGAUCGGCUAACUCCGUGCCAGCAGCCGCGGUAAUACGGAGGAUCCGAGCGUUAUCCGGAUUUAUUGGGUUUAAAGGGUGCGUAGGCGGGAUGAUAAGUCAGCUGUGAAAGUUGGGGGCUCAACCGUAAAAUUGCAGUUGAUACUGGCUUCCUUGAGUGCGCUAGAGGUAGGCGGAAUGCGUGGUGUAGCGGUGAAAUGCUUAGAUAUCACGAAGAACUCCGAUUGCGAAGGCAGCCUACUGGAGUGUAACUGACGCUGAUGCACGAAAGUGUGGGUAUCGAACAGGAUUAGAUACCCUAGUAGUC